AGAGCCCUGGAUGUCAUUUGGAAAAACACCAGAGACAGACGGCUGGCAGCAGCGGUAAAAUCAGUAAAGUUGGAAGUGGAUGAAGAUAAGAGCACAAAGAGAUCCAAUCUUUCCAACUUGGAAGUGGCAAUUGGUUUGUCUCCUUACACCUUUCCCCAAAAGAGGCUUUUCCAUGUUGCUGGAGAAGAAAACAUCGCCUAGGCGGGUGUGUGCCUGGCAGAACACUGCACUCCAAUCUCCUCGGGCAGCCACAAAAAAAAAAAGGUGGGGUUGACGCCGGGGGGCAGCUCUUCAGUAAGAUGUGACAAUAUGCCAGUUUCACCAAUGAUAAGAGAAGCCUAAGACACCAAAAGUCAGCAUAGGCCACAGGUCAUGUUUGACAGUGCAAAGCUGCAAGGUCCUUCAGACAAAGCAAAUAGGAGAGUGGGUUCCAAAGCCUGCCAACAGGGUCCCGAAAGCUAAAAGGGAAACUUUCCUAAAGAACCCGGGAAACAAUGUAAGGAUGCUAAAUUGGUCAUUUAAGGAUGCCCUCCCUGGUUAGAAGAAACUCCCUU
rnacentral:sRNA from 1 species